GAAAGAGGUUCUUGUCAACAGAUAACCUUUCAAACUCUGAUAAAAACUCAGUACUUUAUACGUAUCAAUAGAGCAGAUUGCCAAUUUCUUAAUUCCCCAACGGACCCCUUCUUUUCUGAGUUGCCACUUUUAAGAUAACCAAAUUCUUUACAAUGCACAACUCUUGUCAACUGCUGUAUGCAUACUUUUUCUAACAAUCUUGUCUCUGUAACUAUCACUUCUCAACCUUUUCAAACCGGCUUUCCCCCAUAACAACAACAUGAAAUAUGAAAUGUUAGGUGAUGUGCCAUACGUGAAGGUAACAUCUCCAGUCUGGUCAAUGUUAACUUGAUAAACCGUGCAACAAUCAAACAAGAACAUGCACGAUCAAUCACACCAACAUGAUUCGGAACAGGGGUGCUACUCUCAAAUACACACACUCACCCAUUCCAAGAAUGAUUUCACUUACUGUAUUCUUUACACUUCUGAUCUAUCUGAGACCCUCUUCAUAAUCUUCUAACUACUACUAGAACUCGGCAAGAACCACUUGGUGAGAUCCCUAGGCUAUUGCAGCGAAUCCAGGUUCAACAAGAAUACUGAACAGUUUACUUUUAGAUGUCGACCAUCCUUUCAAUGCCUUAACCACAUCUUCAUCUUCCCUGAUUAUCAGACUGUCUUCUACUCUGCUCCU
rnacentral:lncRNA from 1 species